rnacentral:rRNA from 1 species
AGCGAACAUUGGCGGUAGGCUUAGCACAUGCAAGUCGAGCGAGGCGUAAUAGUCGAGAGGCGAACGGGUGAGUAACACAUGGGAAUCUACCCUGAAGUGGGGGAUAACGUCCAGAAAUGGACGCUAAUACCGCAUAAUCCACAUUGGGAAAGCGCGCUGCGCUUUAGGAUGAGCCCAUGGCUGAUUAGCUAGUUGGUGAGGUAACGGCUCACCAAGGCGACGAUCAGUAGCUGGUCUGAGAGGAUGAUCAGCCACACUGGAACUGAGACACGGUCCAGACUCCUACGGGAGGCAGCAGUGGGGAAUCUUGCGCAAUGGGGGCAACCCUGACGCAGCCAUACCGCGUGUGUGAUGAAGGUCUUCGGAUUGUAAAGCACUUUCAGUAGGGACGACGAUGACGGUACCUACAGAAGAAGUCACGGCUAACUUCGUGCCAGCCGCCGCGGUAAGAC